rnacentral:rRNA from 1 species
UGCAAGUCGAACGAUGAACCACUUCGGUGGGGAUUAGUGGCGAACGGGUGAGUAACACGUGGGCAAUCUGCCCUGCACUCUGGGACAAGCCCUGGAAACGGGGUCUAAUACCGGAUACUGAUCCGCUUGGGCAUCCAAGCGGUUCGAAAGCUCCGGCGGUGCAGGAUGAGCCCGCGGCCUAUCAGCUUGUUGGUGAGGUAAUGGCUCACCAAGGCGACGACGGGUAGCCGGCCUGAGAGGGCGACCGGCCACACUGGGACUGAGACACGGCCCAGACUCCUACGGGAGGCAGCAGUGGGGAAUAUUGCACAAUGGGCGAAAGCCUGAUGCAGCGACGCCGCGUGAGGGAUGACGGCCUUCGGGUUGUAAACCUCUUUCAGCAGGGAAGAAGCGAAAGUGACGGUACCUGCAGAAGAAGCGCCGGCUAACUACGUGCCAGCAGCCGCGGUAAUACGUAGGGCGCAAGCGUUGUCCGGAAUUAUUGGGCGUAAAGAGCUCGUAGGCGGCUUGUCACGUCGGUUGUGAAAGCCCGGGGCUUAACCCCGGGUCUGCAGUCGAUACGGGCAGGCUAGAGUUCGGUAGGGGAGAUCGGAAUUCCUGGUGUAGCGGUGAAAUGCGCAGAUAUCAGGAGGAACACCGGUGGCGAAGGCGGAUCUCUGGGCCGAUACUGACGCUGAGGAGCGAAAGCGUGGGGAGCGAACAGGAUUAGAUACCCUGGUAGUCCACGCCGUAAACGGUGGGCACUAGGUGUGGGCAACAUUCCACGUUGUCCGUGCCGCAGCUAACGCAUUAAGUGCCCCGCCUGGGGAGUACGGCCGCAAGGCUAAAACUC